GUUAAGGUGGCAGAGCCCGGCAAAUGCAAAAGACCUAAGCCCUUUAAACAGAGGUUCAAGUCCUCUCCCUAACU
rnacentral:tRNA from 2 species